rnacentral:rRNA from 1 species
CCUACGGGAGGCAGCAGUGGGGAAUUUUGGACAAUGGGGGCAACCCUGAUCCAGCCAUGCCGCGUGUCUGAAGAAGGCCUUCGGGUUGUAAAGGACUUUUGUUAGGGAGCAAGUCCUGCAGGUUAAGAGCUAGUAGGGAUGAGAGUACCUAAAGAAUAAGCACCGGCUAACUACGUGCCAGCAGCCGCGGUAAU